AGUGAACGCUGGCGGUAGGCCUAACACAUGCAAGUCGAACGGCAGCACAGUAAGAGCUUGCUCUUACGGGUGGCGAGUGGCGGACGGGUGAGGAAUACAUCGGAAUCUACUUUUUCGUGGGGGAUAACGUAGGGAAACUUACGCUAAUACCGCAUACGACCUACGGGUGAAAGCAGGGGAUCUUCGGACCUUGCGCGAUUGAAUGAGCCGAUGUCGGAUUAGCUAGUUGGCGGGGUAAAGGCCCACCAAGGCGACGAUCCGUAGCUGGUCUGAGAGGAUGAUCAGCCAAACUGGAACUGAGACACGGUCCAGACUCCUACGGGAGGCAGCAGUGGGGAAUAUUGGACAAUGGGCGCAAGCCUGAUCCAGCCAUACCGCGUGGGUGAAGAAGGCCUUCGGGUUGUAAAGCCCUUUUGUUGGGAAAGAAAAGCAGCAGGUUAAUACCCCGCUGUUCUGACGGUACCCAAAGAAUAAGCACCGGCUAACUGCGU
rnacentral:rRNA from 1 species